rnacentral:rRNA from 1 species
UGAUAGUGUGUGCUAGCGAUUGGAAAUGCUAGUCUAAGCGUUUAGGGAGUUACAGUAGGCAAAUCCGCUGUAAUAAUUCUAAGGCGUGAUGGGGAAGGUCAUUAAGACCGAAGUACAUGAUUCCAUGCUUCCAAGAAAAGCAUCUAGAGAGAGAAGUAGUGCCCGUACCGCAAACCGACACAGGUAGAUGAGGAGAGAAUCCUAAGGCCGGCGGAAGAAUUGCAGUUAAGGAACUAGGCAAAUUGACCCCGUAAGUUCGCGAGAAGGGGUGCCUGCGAGAGCAGGCCGCAGAGAAUAGGCCCAAGCAACUGUUUAGCAAAAACACAGGUCUCUGCUAAAGCGUAAGCUGAUGUAUAGGGGCUGACGCCUGCCCGGUGCUGGAAGGUUAAGGGGAACACUUAGCGCAAGCGAAGGUGUGAACUUAAGCCCCAGUAAACGGCGGCCGUAACUAUAACGGUCCUAAGGUAGCGAAAUUCCUUGUCAGGUAAGUUCUGACCCGCACGAAUGGCGUAAUGACUUGGGCACUGUCUCAACUGCAAAUCCGGCGAAGUUGUAGUGCGAGUGAAGAUGCUCGCUACCCGCGAUUGGACGGAAAGACCCCGUAGAGCUUUACUGUAGCUUAGCAUUGAAUUCCGGUAUUGUCUGUACAGGAUAGGUGGGAGACUGGGAAACUAGGGCGUCAGCCUUAGUGGAGUCAACCUUGGGAUACCACCCUGACAGUACUGGGGUUCUGACAGGACGCCAUGAAGCUGGUGACUGGACAUUGUUAGGUGGGCAGUUUGACUGGGGCGGUCGCCUCCUAAAAAGUAACGGAGGCGCCCAAAGGUUCCCUCAGAACGGUCGGAAAUCGUUCGUAGAGUGCAAAGGCAGAAGGGAGCCUGACUGCGAGACCUACAAGUCGAGCAGGGACGAAAGUCGGGCUUAGUGAUCCGGUGGUACCUCGUGGGAGGGCCAUCGCUCAACGGAUAAAAGCUACCUCGGGGAUAACAGGCUGAUCUCCCCCAAGAGUCCACAUCGACGGGGAGGUUUGGCACCUCGAUGUCGGCUCGUCGCAUCCUGGGGCUGUAGUAGAUCCCAAGGGUUGGGCUGUUCGCCCAUUAAAGCGGCACGCGAGCUGGGUUCAGAACGUCGUGAGACAGUUCGGUCCCUAUCCGUCGCGGGCGUAGGAAAUUUGAGAGGAGCUGUCCUUAGUACGAGAGGACCGGGAUGGACUGACCUCUGGUGCACCAGUUGUUCUGCCAAGAGCAUGGCUGGGUAGCUAAGUCGGGAAGGGAUAAACGCUGAAAGCAUCUAAGCGUGAAGCCCCCCUCAAGAUGAGAUUUCCCAUAGCAUAAGCUAGUAAGACCCCUUGAAGAACACAAGGUUGAUAGGUCAGAGGUGGAAGUGCGGUAACGUAUGUAGCUGACUGAUACUAAUAGGUCGAGGGCUUGAUCAA